rnacentral:misc_RNA from 1 species
UCUCCGUUGGUGAACCAGCGGAGGGAUCAUUACAGGAUCGAAAGACUCCUAUAACCCCUGUGAACUUACUACAAAUACGUUGCUUCGGCGGGUGCCCCGGGUCUCCCGGGGCGUUCAGCCCGCCGGCAGCCUUCAAAUUCUGUUUCUUUGCGUUGGCAUCUCGAGUAUACAAAAAUAAGUUAAAACUUUCAACAACGGAUCUCUUGGUUCCG